rnacentral:rRNA from 1 species
UACGAAGGGUGCUAGCGUUGCUCGGAAUCACUGGGCGUAAAGCGCACGUAGGCGGACUCUUAAGUCAGGGGUGAAAUCCUGGAGCUCAACUCCAGAACUGCCUUUGAUACUGGGAGUCUUGAGUUCGGGAGAGGUGAGUGGAACUGCGAGUGUAGAGGUGAAAUUCGUAGAUAUUCGCAAGAACACCAGUGGCGAAGGCGGCUCACUGGCCCGAUACUGACGCUGAGGUGCGAAAGCGUGGGGAGCAAACAGG